AGUUGAGGGACCUAAAUCAAACUUAUACCAAAGUUAAGGGACCGUAAUUUUACUUUACUCUGGGACGAAAGGAAUAAUACAAAGUAUUUAAUGGAUAGUAAAAUACGUACUGUAUUAAAUAUUGUUUUUUUUUUUUAAAAAAAAAGGAAAAAGAUACGGAUUAAAUGUCUAAACUCAAAGUUGGUCAUACAAAAAACACUUUAUGAGUUUCUCGUUUCUCGUUUGUGUAAGAAGGCUGCAACACCAAUCUAGGAAGCAGUCGCUAGAACCCUUAAAACUACUCCAAAAGUCCAAAUCUUUCCUGUCAAUCAGUCUAUAAUCCUGUGACCUGCAAAUGGCUAGUAUGUAGAGAUCGCCUUUAUUUGACGUGAAACUGUAUAUUCUAAGGGUAGGGACCUGGAGCAAGAUAUUGCUGCAUUUUGCGUAGUUGAUGGUUGAGAAAGAUAGGAUGCCUUGAUAACAUUGAUGUCUAACAAUACCGUAGAAGAGUGAAAUAGUUCACUUCUUCACUGACAUCUAAUUUCACGUCAGAGUGGUAGCCCCGUAAUUAGUCUCAACAAAUUUUACAUACAGAGAAACUGAGUUUAGAAGCAGACAAAGGGUGCUCCAUUUAAAUACAACACAAUCAUAAGACAAUGGAGCCGUUGAUAAGUAGUAACCUUGUUAUCAGUCUCUGCAAGUUUCACAUAUAGAAAUUCUGAGCUGUGGGAAGCAGACGCAAGGGAACCCUACUAAAUACGGGAUAAUAGAGAUACAAUGGACAUUUCUGAUAGUAAUAGUAGCAAAAUCCUCAAUGAUGUCAUGAAUCGCCGGCUGAAGAACAGAGAACGACAGCGUAGAUACAGGGAACGGAAACGUCUCCAAGGAAAUGCCAGGAAUGGGCAUGUCACUGACCAGUCAUCCCAGAUGCAAAUUGUAUCGCUGCCAGAUGCAAAUGGGCCUGACAGGAAUGGGAAUGUGGAACAAGUUGUAACCCGUGUUCAUUGUAGACGAGAUUGGAAAAAGGAUGCGAGGAGAGUCCAUGUUGCCAUACCAGAAGCCAUGUUCAAUGGAUUACUUCCCAAUGGUCAGUCUUUAGCCACUGAAAAUAACACGCCACAUGCUCCUUGGGGAAUGCGGGAAUCAGAACAAGCUCUGAAAAGUGAAGAUUCUUCAGAAAGCUAUCCCCGCUUGUAUGAUAGUGAUAAAAGUAGAAGUAGACCCGGAAGAAGAGAUUGGAAAGCAGAGGCAAGAAAUAAGAAAUAAAUAGAUUCAUUGCAGUAAUUAUCCAAUUUGUUCAGCUGCUUGGUAAUUUCUGAAAGGAAUAGUCUCUCUACAAAUCAGGUCAGUCAAUGGGUGAUCAGAGAAACUUGAUUAUUUGAAUUGGAAAGCCUUUAAAUAGCCAAAAUGACAAGUCUUAUGAUUUAUAGAUAUGAUAUAUGCCAAUCUUGCAUAAUCAACUUAGUAACAAGCUGUUUGUAGGCUGCUCGUCUUUCUUGUACCUGAGCAUUAGUGCUCCUAGCAUCUUUUUAUAGUUAUUUGCUAAAACUCAUUGUAAACAAAGAUUCUUUUAACAUUCUUAUACAUGAUGAAAAUCUUUAUUUUAGGGUUAGCCUGAAAAGUUGUGAUGAAUAUAUCAUACACAUCUUUUUAUUGAAGGCAAUUGACAUGAAAUUGAUGCUUUAGUAUGUAAUGUGGAAUAUGUACAUAUUUUCAAGGAAUGAAUCCUGGAAAUUAUAUACAUUUUCGUAA